rnacentral:tRNA from 1 species
GGCCGGUUGGAGUAGCUGGUUAUCUCGUAUCGUUAACAUACCGAUAAGGUCGCCGGAUCGAGCCCGGCACUGGUCA